rnacentral:lncRNA from 1 species
GAAAUCACAUUAUAUUCAAAUAUAUAUUUGCAUCUAAGAGAAUAUAGAUAUAAGGAAAUAUUUUAUUACUUCAAAAGUAUAUUUUAUGUUAUUUAAAAUAUUUUUAAAGGAAUAUUUAUAUUUUGUGAAUUUUUCUUUUUUUUUACAAAAUCAUAUUAUAGAUACAUAUAUUUUCGUUUUUAAAUUUAUUUUUUAAAAUUUCUAAAUCUUUCCUUUUU